GCGUGCAGGAAGAAGGCCUUCUGGGUUGUAAACUGCUUUAUCUGGGAAGAAAAAGCCCUUGCGAGGGAAACUGACGGUACCAGAUGAAUAAGCACCGGCUAACUCCGUGCCAGCAGCCGCGGUAAUACGGAGGGUGCAAGCGUUGUCCGGAUUUAUUGGGUUUAAAGGGUGCGUAGGCGGCCCUGUAAGUCAGUGGUGAAAGCCUCCAGCUCAACUGGAGAACUGCCAUUGAUACUGCAGGGCUUGAGUACAGACGAGGUUGGCGGAAUUGAUUGUGUAGCGGUGAAAUGCAUAGAUACAAUCAAGAACUCCGAUUGCGUAGGCAGCUAACUAGGCUGUAACUGACGCUGAGGCACGAAAGCGUGGGGAGCGAACAGGAUUAGAUACCCUGGUAGUCCACGCUGUAAACGAUGAUUACUCGAUGUUGGCGAUAAACUGUCAGCGUCUUAGCGAAAGCGUUAAGUAAUCCACCUGGGGAGUACGCCCGCAAGGGUG
rnacentral:rRNA from 1 species